GCCAGACUCCUACGGGAGGCAGCAGUGAGGAAUAUUGGUCAAUGGGCAAGAGCCUGAACCAGCCAAGUCGCGUGAGGGAAGACGGUCCUAUGGAUUGUAAACCUCUUUUGUCGGGGAGCAAAAAGGCCUCGUGAGGCCACAAGUGAGAGUACCCGAAGAAAAAGCAUCGGCUAACUCCGUGCCAGCAGCCGCGGUAAUACGGAGGAUGCGAGCGUUAUCCGGAUUUAUUGGGUUUAAAGGGUGCGCAGGCGGAAUGUCAAGUCAGCGGUAAAAUUUCGGGGCUCAACCCCGUCGUGCCGUUGAAACUGGCAGUCUCGAGUUGGGGAGAAGUAUGCGGAAUGCGCGGUGUAGCGGUGGAAUGCAUAGAUA
rnacentral:rRNA from 1 species